rnacentral:rRNA from 1 species
GACGAACGUUGGCGGCGUGCUUAACACAUGCAAGUCGAACGGAAAGGCCCUGCUUUUGUGGGGUGCUCGAGUGGCGAACGGGUGAGUAACACGUGAGUAACCUGCCCUUGACUUUGGGAUAACUUCAGGAAACUGGGGCUAAUACCGGAUAGGAGCUCCUGCUGCAUGGUGGGGGUUGGAAAGUUUCGGCGGUUGGGGAUGGACUCGCGGCUUAUCAGCUUGUUGGUGGGGUAGUGGCUUACCAAGGCUUUGACGGGUAGCCGGCCUGAGAGGGUGACCGGCCACAUUGGGACUGAGAUACGGCCCAGACUCCUACGGGAGGCAGCAGUGGGGAAUAUUGCACAAUGGGCGGAAGCCUGAUGCAGCAACGCCGCGUGCGGGAUGACGGCCUUCGGGUUGUAAACCGCUUUCGCCUGUGACGAAGCGUGAGUGACGGUAAUGGGUAAAGAAGCACCGGCUAACUACGUGCCAGCAGCCGCGGUGAUACGUAGGGUGCGAGCGUUGUCCGGAUUUAUUGGGCGUAAAGGGCUCGUAGGUGGUUGAUCGCGUCGGAAGUGUAAUCUUGGGGCUUAACCCUGAGCGUGCUUUCGAUACGGGUUGACUUGAGGAAAGGUAGGGGAGAAUGGAAUUCCUGGUGGAGCGGUGGAAUGCGCAGAUAUCAGGAGGAACACCAGUGGCGAAGGCGGUUCUCUGGGCCUUUCCUGACGCUGAGGAGCGAAAGCGUGGGGAGCGAACAGGCUUAGAUACCCUGGUAGUCCACGCUGUAAACGGUGGGUACUAGGUGUGGGGUCCAUUCCACGGGUUCCGUGCCGUAGCUAACGCUUUAAGUACCCCGCCUGGGGAGUACGGCCGCAAGGCUAAAACUCAAAGGAAUUGACGGGGCCCCGCACAAGCGGCGGAGCAUGCGGAUUAAUUCGAUGCAACGCGUAGAACCUUACCUGGGUUUGACAUGGAUCGGGAGUGCUCAGAGAUGGGUGUGCCUCUUUUGGGGUCGGUUCACAGGUGGUGCAUGGCUGUCGUCAGCUCGUGUCGUGAGAUGUUGGGUUAAGUCCCGCAACGAGCGCAACCCUUGUUCACUGUUGCCAGCACGUUAUGGUGGGGACUCAGUGGAGACCGCCGGGGUCAACUCGGAGGAAGGUGGGGAUGACGUCAAGUCAUCAUGCCCCUUAUGUCCAGGGCUUCACGCAUGCUACAAUGGCUGGUACAGAGAGUGGCGAGCCUGUGAGGGUGAGCGAAUCUCGGAAAGCCGGUCUCAGUUCGGAUUGGGGUCCGCAACUCGACCUCAUGAAGUCGGAGUCGCUAGUAAUCGCAGAUCAGCAACGCUGCGGUGAAUACGUCCCCGGGGCU